rnacentral:tRNA from 2 species
GCCCUGCUAGCUCACCGGACAGAGCAGCCGUUUCCUAGGCGGCGGGUACCAGGUUCGAUUCCUGGGUGGGGCAC